UACGUAGGGGGCAAGCGUUGUCCGGAUUUAUUGGGCGUAAAGAGCGUGUAGGCGGCCGUACAGGUCAGCUGUGAAAACUCGAGGCUCAACCUCGAGACGUCGGUUGAAACCGUACGGCUAGAGUCCGGAAGAGGAGAGUGGAAUUCCCGGUGUAGCGGUGAAAUGCGUAGAUAUCUGGAGGAAUACCGGUGGCGAAGGCGGCAUCCUGGACCAUUACUGACGCUGAGGCGCGAAAGCUAGGGGAGCAAACGGG
rnacentral:rRNA from 1 species